rnacentral:sRNA from 2 species
CUGAUUAUUAGCACCAUUCAUCGAAUGGUGGGUUAGCGCGCGUCUGAUAGCAGUGACAUCAACCCGCCCCACGAGGCGGGUUUU